GUCAGAGUUUGAUCCUGGCUCAGAUUGAACGCUGGCGGCAUGCUUUACACAUGCAAGUCGAACGGUAACAGGUUAAUCUGACGAGUGGCGAACGGGUGAGUAAUGCAUCGGAACGUGCCCGAUCGUGGGGAUAACGCAGCGAAAGCUGCGCUAAUACCGCAUACGAUCUGAGGAUGAAAGCGGGGGACCGUAAGGCCUCGCGCGAUCGGAGCGGCCGAUGUCAGAUUAGGUAGUUGGUGGGUAAAGCUCACCAAGCCAACGAUCUGUAGCUGGUCUGAGAGGAUGAUCAGCCACGACUGGAACUGAGACAC
rnacentral:rRNA from 1 species